ACAGGAAAACCUGGAUGACAUAUAUUUUACAUGUUAUUGUAUUCUGCCAUAUCAUACUUGACUUAUCCUUACCUCCCUAACCCUCUCUAUCUGGCUCUCUCUUGCUCGUUGGCUCCCACAACUUAGCAUAGACAAGCGGGUACGCAGACGCUGCUGCUUUUCUGUUGAGAUGGUGCUUAGCAGCUGAUAAGUGCAAUGCUACUAAUACCAAUGCUGAUAAGUAUGAAAGUUUUUGGCUAUACCCAGCAGAAGAAUCAAAUGCUGGUACUCCCAUGUUGAACUUUGGGGGUAAAGUUACUUCAAUGAAGGAUUCUGAUGCAGCUUCUCCUGCGGUUAACUAUGUCUCUUAGAGUGUUGACAAAGUUGCACAGCCACAGUUUCCAUUUGCUUUGUCAGCUGCAGUUGGUGAAUCUGUUGAACUAAAAUCUGGUGCCUUUUCACACCUCAAGCCUAAAAGCUCAAGCAGAUCAGAUGGUUUCAAAGCAAGUUCAAAUGUCUUUUCCUUGCCUCUUCUAAGUUUUGGGGAGACAUUUGAAGAUGCGUAUGAAGUGAUCUUGAAUUUGGAUGAUUGAGAGCAAUUUGCCACUCUGGGGAUCACGACCUGGGAGAAUAAUUGAGAAUGUUCGUAAUCAAUUCAAAAUUAAAAUAGAGAGCUCUGGAAGAUUCUGUACCUGAUGAAGCUAUUCAACUUUACACUGAUGCUUGUGCUCUUCUUGAAGAUGAUGACUAGUGUUUAUAUAAAACUUGAGAAGUACACAGAUGCUGCUGCUUUUCUGUUGAGAUGGGGCUUAGCAGCUGAUAAAUGCAAUGCUACUAAUACCAAUGCUGAUAAGGUAUUGAAGUAUUUCUUUUGGCACUAAUCUUUAUCAGUAUUUUGGAUGUAUUUACAAAUUAGAUAUAUCGUACGUCUUGGACUAGUGUAGAGGUAUUGGUAUUUGAUAUGAAGACAAUAUUGAAAUGGUUUCCUACGGUAUACAUACAUGAGGUUACCUAAUCCGUAAUUGGAUUAGGAGGAAUUGAAUUGAGGAGAUGUUGGAUUGAGGAGAAUUAAA